UCAUUGGUAAAAGAAAAGCUUUGGUUUUUUGCCAAGGUCACGGCUCUAAUGCCGUAAAGACUUGUUGGGUGAUACAUGAAUAUCAUUCCGAGACUGCUCGUUAUUAUCAGAAGCCUUUUGUUCUUUGUCGAUUGAAAAGAAAAUCAGAUGAUACUGAAGAUGAUCAACCCAGUUCUCGUUGGGCUUCUACUUCCAGAAAUUAAUGGAAGAAACUUUGAGGACAGUUGGAGUCUGGAAGGUGGCAUAUCGAUCAAGAAGAAAGGCCUCCGAUAGGGAUGUAAACUCAACUACAGCGCUGGAAUUUCGAUUAGCAUAUAUAACUAUGGAGUUAGCUAAAUUUUGAAUUAGUUAGGACAUACUAUGUUUUCAGAAUGUGUUCACCGUUGUAAGCGUGUCUUUCUACAUCUUCAGCUUGUUUUUGUUUGUAAUAAUUAUCAACUUCAUUGAGUGCUUCUAUGUAAUAAAAGUGUUACAACUCUAUAAUAUAUACUUUUUUGGUA